rnacentral:rRNA from 1 species
GCCGCCGCGGGAACACCGGCGGCCCGAGUGGUGAUCGUGAUUAUUGGGUCUAAAGGGUCCGUAGCCGGUUUGGUCAGUCCUCCGGGAAAUCUGAUAGCUCAACUAUUAGGCUUUCGGGGGAUACUGCCAGACUUGGAACCGGGAGAGGUAAGAGGUACUACAGGGGUAGGAGUGAAAUCUUGUAAUCCCUGUGGGACCACCUGUGGCGAAGGCGUCUUACCAGAACGGGUUCGACGGUGAGGGACGAAAGCUGGGGGCACGAACCGGAUUAGAUACCCGGGUAGUCCCAGCCGUAAACGAUGCUCGCUAGGUGUCAGGCAUGGCGCGACCGUGUCUGGUGCCGCAGGGAAGCCGUGAAGCGAGCCACCUGGGAAGUACGGCCGCAAGGCUGAAACUUAAAGGAAUUGGCGGGGGAGCACAACAACGGGUGGAAGCCUGCGGUUUAAUUGGACUCAACGCCGGACAACUUACCGGGGGCGACAGCAAUAUGUAGGCCAAGCUGAAGACCUUUGCCUGAAUCGCUGAGAAGUGGUGCAUGG